UAAAAAUACUACUAAAGUAUUAGAACAACCAUUAAAAAAUAUCUAUACAAAAUAUACUUUAAAAAGGCUUCUGCAAGGGGGCGCAGCCAACUGUUUAACAGAGCGAAUGCAAAGCCCUGAGCUCUGUGCCCAAAUCGGCUAAAAAUCGAGAAAACUACUGCUAAUCAGGCAUAAAUAAGAGGAGAGAACAGCACCAUAACCCGCACCUCAAUCUGGAGUAGAAAAUGGGUCGCAAAACAAAAAAACCCAGAGCCGAUAAAGGCCCCAACACGAAAGACAUUGGUGAGCUGCUGAGACACUCACAACAGGCCGCAU